rfam:Gossypium hirsutum cultivar TM-1 chromosome 12, whole genome shotgun sequence
AACCCAUGGUGAGGGCACUUUCUCAAUAAGUAUUUGUAUCUCUUCCAUGCGUCACAAAGAGUUUCUAAAUGCAUCUACACAAAAGAAGAGAUAUCAUUCCUUAGUUU